rnacentral:lncRNA from 1 species
UAUAGAGAGAGAGAGAGAGAGAGAGAGAGCGCAGGGCUGUUGUGCUCUCUGGAGCACGGAGGCCUCCGUGCUCCUCUGCCGUUUUCGAUGAUUGAAUUUUCGAAUCGACGAUCGGCUUCGUUAGACUUGAUUUAGCGUAUUUCAAAUUUUUAGAAAAUAAUUUUUACGAUUUUUUGAUAUCAUUUACCUAGUGAUUGAAAAGAUUCAAAAUCAAUAAUUUUUAAUGAUUGAUAUCUGUCGUUUUCAAGUUUAACGGUGUAAAAAUAUUCAAAUCAGAUAAAAUUUUAAUACAAAAUUCUUUAUACUAUCUACAACAAGAUCAAUAUUUCUGAUCGAAAAUUUUAGUGUUAUAUCACCACUUUUUAUAGGAUUUUUAUUUUCAACCGUUAAAAAUUAUUGAUUUUGAAUCCUUUCAAUUGCUAGGUAAAUAAUAUCGAGAAAUCGCAAAAAAUAUUUUUUAAAAACUUCAAAUACGCUAGAUCAAGUCUAACGGAGCCGAUCGUCGAUUCAAAAAUUCUAUCAUCGAAAACGGCUCAGAAGCACGGAGANAAAGUAUUGGAGUUGGUUUGAUGUAUUUCUCGAAAUAACCCAAUCCUUUUUUGGUAAGACCCGCAUAAAAAUAUGCCACUGACGUGGGUAAAGCUAAAGCAACAGUAGUAUUUAUAUCAUUCGUGGGCGCAGCUAACUCCCCAUGAGGUAACUGUAUGAUUUUCCAAGAUAAAAGAGCAGCUAUAUAUAUAUAUAUAUAUAUAUAUAUAUAUAUGAGUCCGGCUAUGAUGCUUGUAAAAGUAUCAAGUAUUUAGUGCUUGUAAAUUUUUUACCGCUAGAUCUACACCUUUGAUCAUUUUCACUCGUUAGAUUAUACUAUUCAACUAACCACCCACUUAACUCUAGGGGGCCCACAUCAUCUUAACCGCACAUUCCUUAAUCCAAGGGUUAAAAACUUACAAGCACCAAUGAAUUGGUACUUUUAAAAGCAUAGGAGCACAAUUCUAUAUAUAUAUAUAUAUAUAUAUAUAUAUAUAGAGAGAGAGAGAGAGAGAGAGAGAGAGAGAGAGAGAGAGAGAGAGAGAGCACAGCAGUCCUGCUAUAUAUAUAUAUAUAUAUAUAUGAGAGAGAUAUGAUAGGGAAAUAUUUUCAGCUGAAUUAUAGUUUCAUGCUUUCCAAGUGAUGAGAGAUUCUCAGAUUUUCUGGGUUCUAGAAGAGGUAGUGAAGUGAUGAAAUGGCUACAAUAAAGGGGUCUCCAUCAAAAUAGUACAGAAAACAAAAAAAAAAAAAAAGGAUAUUUUAGAAACCACAGAUUCUCUGCUCGUCAAGAUACAACAUUGCGAAAAAUUAUUACAUUUAAAUCUUGAAGUAUAUUGAACUGGAGUAGUUGAGUAAUCUGAACAAAAGCUGGUGUAUACAAAAAAUAUACAUUACCCAUCAAAAAUCAGCAUAGUAGAAACAAAAAGGACACAGAAUUGAGCGUCUUUAUAUGGAUUUAGUUUUAGUUUCUCUACAAAACUAAAUGUGCAAAAUAAACCAAAAUAAAUACACAAAAGCAACUGAAUAUGGAUAAACAUAUAUAUAAGAAAAACACCGAAUGAGAAAGAUACACUGCUUCUAGAGGUAAAAGCAGCUCACAAGCCAUAGAGAAACACUACAAGCCACCUUUCCAUUUAUGUGUUAAAUAUAGAGGGGAGCAAAAGGGAAUAGAAGGAGAUGGAGUUUUCGUAAAGCACCGCGGGGAGGUGGCCAUGUUGCAUGUGGGAGCUCCUUAAGGUUCCAGCUUCAAGGAGACAACGCGAGAUUGCCUAUUACGCUUGGCCAUACGUACGAAUACCACCGAGAGACAUGGCGGGGCCCACCACGGCCUUCGGACUUCUUGCUCUCCCUUUAGGCAUGCAACUGUUGCAGAGUGCAACAAAAAGGUGGUUAGGCAAAUUCAAAGGAAUAUAUACUUUGAUGGCAUAAAAUAUAGGACUCUCAGAAAACUUUCGAGUAGAAUAUCAAUGAAAAAAAAAAAACAACAAUCAAAGACGGUUGCACAGCGAAGAAGUCCGAUGCCUUUAGUCGUUAAUUUUUGAAUACUGUAUUAUUCAUUCUAGUCACAGAACUGUCUGUUUUCAGCGCAUACCCAACAUCAAUAGACAACUCCGAAGACUCAAUUCAGAGGAUUAUGCACAUCAGGGCGAACAAAGUAACAUCCAACCUAAAUAACAACAGGCUGACUUAGGCUAUAUACCAUUGAGCUUCUGGUAGGAAGGAAUGUAUGUUUCUUUCGGAAGGCAGAAAAAGGUUUCCUCUGUGAUGAGUAGAAAGUUUAUUCAGAUUCUACACCCUAUAGCAAUUUGAGAAUUAAUCAAAUGAUCAAUGCCAUUGAAACUGUCAUCAAGAUAUAUGCUCAUAUUUUGAGCUUUCCAAUGGAAAUAUUGCAAGAUGAGCCCACAGUGGUAAUAAUUUGAUAUUUCACAAGUUACAAUGGUUGGAAGAUGACAGUCUGCUGUAAUUGGUUCAACUUCCCCGUACUUUUCCAAUACAAAUAGUAACAGAUUUGCUUUCUUUCUGCAAUUACUGUCGGAAUAAUUCAACAAGCAGCAUUGUUCAAUAAAAGUUCAAGAGACUAUAAUAAUAAUUAAUCUCAUCCCAAAAUUAACCAAACAGUAAUAAGAACUGAUACUAGAUAUAACCCGAGAAGCCGGGGGCUUGAAAACCGCCAACUUUUGAACUGCACUAGCAGGUGUUCAAACUCCCCAACCUUUGGGAUAGCCCCCCAGGGGUACCAACUACUCCAGGUACUGGUAUUUACUACAAUGCCAUAUGUAGUUAUGCAUUGUGUCCUAUAAGAUACAGGCUUUGACUUUUAUUAGUGCGGAUAAAGGACACUGGUAGUUUCAGUUGGUUGUCUAAGAAUUAUGGUUUACACACAAUAGAACUCAAAAAUACAAACAAGAGACUCUAUUAGGUCUCUAUGAUUACUUGAUCUACAUCGAGAGUUUAUUCUAAUAUGAUUCAAGAAUCGGCUAAAAAAUGACACAAUUUUUAUCAAACAACUGUUGAUUCUUACAGAUAACCAUCAAAUUUAGGCUCUUAAAAAAUUGUCAACUCCUAACCAAGUGAAUGGUUGAAGCUGAUUCUAACCACAAAAUUCAAUAUAAAUUAAUCCUCCUUUUAUCCAAAUGCAUACUACGGAGCAAAUCAAUCCAAACUUGGAUAAUUCACAUCUGAAACUGAGUAACAAGUAGAAAUGAAACAUGCAAACUGUUUAGGAUGGUCGGUUUUCUUUCUUGCACAAAAUUCCAAACCAAUCUUAAAACCUCUAUGAUAAUUGAAAAAAAAAAAUCAUAUUGUUAACUCAAAAAAAAAAUUCUACUCUCGUCAGCUAUUUCAAUUUUCUCAGUCAAAAUCUAUAAAAACUUGUAAGAUAGUCACAAAGAAGAAGAAAAAGAAGAAGAAGAAGAAAUCAACAAUCUACAGAGGAGCACAAGAGUCGAAUCUACUUACUUUUAGUAAGCGAAGUAUAAUUCUUAUACCUCAUUUUUUACCUCUCAUGACUUCAACAAUCAAGACUUCUGACAGUGCCAUUUCAUGCUGAUAAAAGAAAAAGGGGGGGAAAAAAGAAACUCCAAGCUUAUCAUGAUUUCUUUUCUUUGGUUAUGUCAAACAAACCUAGAAGGUGCAAAGCUCAUGAUAUAGCUUCUUUUAAAAGGAUCUAGAAUAUGGGCAUUGGUUGCAGGUAUGUAAGUGUUAAAUCCUUAUAUUCAAACAAAUAUUCAAUUAAUGAUUGUAUGCUAAAGUAAUGAAUGUCAUUCCAUGUUGGCUAGGAACUUCUUCAACAUGAAUCAAAGGAUCUGGGAUGCAACUAUCUUCCGGUAGACAGUAUCUUUUAGCAGGAAAGAAAAUAAAUAAGCAAAGAAGGAUUCAUAAUAACUGAAGGGCUGAGGUGAAAACCAUUUAGCUGUGAGAUUGAUAAAUAGUGAAACAUAAGAAUUCUAUUCAACUUGGUACUAAAGGCAGAUUUCUGCGGGAAGAGCUAGUGAUGCAUAAUUUGGAUCUCUCAGACGAAUAGAAAGGAUGUUGGCAAGGAUUUAAGUGCCGUGGCACGGGGUCGUGCUGGAAACUUGCCGGCACGGUAAGGCACUGUGCGUGCCAAGCCGUGCCGAUGCGUGCCGGUCAAAAAAAUUCUUAUAUGCCGACACAUAAUAGUAUAAAAUAUUUAUUUUCUUUAGCAACAAAAUAUUUUAACUAUUUAUUAUGUCUUUUUAUCACAUCUUUUGAACUUUAUUGAGAAAAUUAUUUACUAAUUUAAAGAAUAGAGGGUUUUGAACUGUGCCAUUGGUACUGGGUCUGUAUUGUGCGGAUAUCUUGUUGGCACGGUACGGCAUGGUAGAUACGGCAUGGUAGAUACGGCUUGUGCCGACGGGCACUUAAAACCUUGGAUGUUGGGAAGGUCGCAGUUGCGGCAAAAUUUAUCUUCAAGCCUUUCAGCAAUUUGCUCAUAAAGGAACAUGAUGAACAAGCAGAAAAGUUUUCAACCAAAUACAUUUUUAAGUGUUUGAUCUCUCCCAAAGGUCAAACAGAUUAUUGACAAUCUUGAGAACGGAAUUCAUCUUAGCACUUCAAUCAGCUGAGUUAGACACAAGACCAAGUGAUAGAAGAAAAGAGAAUUGCUUAAGCCUGCCCUAAACCUUUGAUUCAGAACAAUAAUAAUAAUUAAAUAUAACCAGCAAUGGUUUGUCACAUAUAACUUCUACAUGCAGUCAUAGCUAGAAGUAUGAGAGUUAAAAGAGCAGAACCUUUGAUGCGCCUUAGCUCUUUGCAGAGUGUGAUGAAAUCACCCCAUUUCAUGUGGCAUCGUCUUAUAAACCGUAGUAUCUGCUCUGUGGUGAACAUGGAUAAGCUCUCCAAAUACUCCCCAUUGACACCAUUCUCUUCAAACACUUGGCGAUAGCUACCAAGAUUUAUCUCUUCUAACCACAGCCCGACAUCCUGAAAUCAUGUGUAUCUUGUCAGGCUCGACAUACAAAUCAUAAAAAUAACAAAGCAAUUAAAUUGCAGACCUAAUCUUUCUUGUUUUAAGAAAAAUGUUCAAAAUCUGCUUCACAGCAGAAUAACGGAUGAACCUACGAAAAAUGAUUUGCAGAAGAAACUUUUGCAAAGAAAGAUGACAAAAUCAGUAUUCUGAAACUAAAAAAAUGAUGUAACUUAAUAAUUAUGUAAGUUAAUUCACAUAACAUUUUGAUAAAAAAAUGAGGUUAUGCGAACUUUUUAAUCGAAGAAUCCAUAUGAUGUAAAAAUUGGAUUGAAGUGGGACUAGAUUCACUAAAAAUUAGAAAAGCAUUAUGCUUUUACAGAUUAAAGCCUUGAGAGAAGAAACUGAAGAUAAGAUUAAUCAGCUAUUUUUCCGUUAUUUCCCAUUAGUCUUAGCGUUCCAAGUUGAUUGGCAGCUUAGCUAUUGUCAACCAGUCCAAGUUGAGCCAGUCAUGCUCCAAUAAUGGAUAAGAUUUGAGAAGAUUUAAGUAUAAGUUCUUUAGUAGCUCAUGGUAGACAAAAGUGCUCUCUAAUAUGAAAUAAUUCUCAAGAAAUGAAGCAAUAGAGUAGUAGCAGCAAACUGCAUCAAUACAUGGACCAGCAUAGUCGACCAAAAUUGAAGUUUUCGUGAUAAUGGAACUGAAUUUUCCCUGUUGUCGAUCUAUGCUAAUAACUGCAAACCUAAUGUAAUAAAGGCAUAAAAAAUUAGUAUAAAAAUUUAUGCAUAUCUAUUUUCUGUAGAACAGAGCUUGUGCGGUCAUAAUCAUCUCAUUUGGGCAAAAUUGAUAUUACCACAACUAUUCAACUGUAAAAUAAAACAACAAAAAAACCAUGAUUUCUGCAGUGUCUUAGCCACCCCGUCCACAGUAAAGAAAUCGUCCAAAAUUAACAAUCUCUGAAAUUUGGAUACAAUUGAUAAUAUUACGACCAUCCAAAAAAAUUAACUGUGAUAGCAAAGAAUAAAAAUCAUCUUGACCACAUCAAAGUCCUAUCCAACACCAUUUUGCCCUUAUAACAACUCCUCUCCAUGACAAUUUGUCCUCCACUUAACCUGAAAAUUAAAAUCUACUAAAUAUUCCAAAUUAACAUAUCUCGACUUUGACCUAGUUAUUUCUAUUUUGACUCCCAAUAUUUUCCCUUUACAGCUCCUCUAUCUGGAAGAAGUUAAAAAAGAAAAAAAGAAUUAAACUUCCUAGAAGACCAUUUACUUAGACUCAAACUAGAACCCUUCCUUCUUCUCGAAGAGACAAACAGUCUUAAAAGCUGUGCAAAUCUUAGCCUCUUCAGUUCAUGUGAAGAAAAGCGUAACAUAAUCAUAUCAUCAUGGAAAAUUUUCAAGCCAUACUCUAUCAAAUGGAACAUUUGGAUCCUCCCGUUCUCCAGUAUCCAUCACCACAACCAAAAAAUAGGUAACAUAGAGUUUUCCACAAUCCACACUGAACUUCAGUUCAGUAUUCCUAAUAAUGACAGAAGUUUAAUUAAAAGAGAAAAGGAGGAAUUGUGCAAGACAAAGAAACCAACAGCGUAAAAAUCUCCUUACCAAAGCUUGCAAACGUUUUUUGCAUUAACCCAGCAAUACAUCAUCGCAUCUUCAAUUAACAAGCACACAUCCCCAUCGACAACCGAUUACAAUUACUUUCCAGCAUCAGUGAUUAAGUUUUGAGAUCUCAUGAAUUCAUGUGUCUUCGCUUGUAUUAUGAACAGGAUCGUUAAACAACAUCACGAUACCACGGAUCAACCAAAAGUCAACAGGAUUGCUCGGAUACAAUAAGAAAAUAAGCUUUAUAUUGAGGAACCUAUCUCUCCCCAUUUAUUACUUCUUCUACUUACACAUAAACUCAUCAAAAUCCCAAAUCAUACUGGUAACACCUCAAAUAACCAAAUCUAAAUAAAUCGAAACAAAUUUUCUAUCUAAUUGCAACAGUACGAACGCGAGAUCUGAUGAACCGAUGGAAAAAAGAAAUCAAAAAGAAAUUAAGAAAACAUACCUCCACCGUCCAAAUGAAGAAAUCUAAGGGCUCGGGGGACCGGCCCUUGCUCAUCUCCCUCUUCCUCGCAAAGAAACCCUAACAAAAUCUCCCCAAAAUCCCACAAUUCAACCAUCAAAUCUCGCAAAAUAACGCAUCCGAAUCCCUCCAAAUCGCCAAAAACAGAGUUACAAAAAGAAAAAUCCCGAGGUAAAAGAUUACCGUUUUCGGAUCGCGAGGAGACGCCCCUCUCACAAAGAGGAGGAUGAGGAUGAGGAUGAGGAUGAGGAUGGGGAUGCGAAAUCGCGGCGCGAUGCGAUCUCCGCUCUCUCUCGAAGCUUCUUCGACAAGCGCCCGGAAAAAUCGGUGGAGGAGGAGCGCUUCUGAGGAAUCUGGCGUUUUCGCCUCCGAAAACGAGAGAGAAAAAGUGAGCCCUCUCUAGAGAGAGAAAAAGAGAGUGAGAAAGAGAGAGUAUAUUUAUGUGUACUUAAGCUACUGAUUACAGAGAGAGAGGUGAGUGAUUUUAAAUCAGAGACCCCUCAACUAUGAUCAAUUUUGAAAUCGCCCCCUCAAUUUUAUCUCUUUAAUUUUUAAUUUAUGUUUAAUUUUUUUUAGAAUUGGAUAAUUUUUUUUUUUAAGAAAAAGGGGUAAUAUUAUUAUCUUUAUAAAAAUGUGGAUGACAUACUUGAACUAUGAAAAUUUUCGAGUUGGCUACUCAGUUUUUCAAAUUUUUUAUUUUACUAUUCAAGGUCGGUCCAUUAUAUUUUUAGUUUUAAAAUUUAAAUGCAUUAUUUAUCUCUAUAGUUUUAAUUAAUAUAUUUUAUGAACUUCUUACAACUUUAAAUUUAUUAAAAUAAGUAAAUAGCUUAAAUUUUAAAGUCAAAGUACAGUUAACUAACUCAAAUCAAAUAGAUUAAAAAAGAUUGAGUAGUAAAAUUAAAAUUUUUAAAGAUUGAAUAGUCAAUUUAAAAUGAUUCAUAGUUUAAGUAAGUUCUGUAUGUUUUUAUCUAUUAUUAGCUUAUACUAUAUAUAACAAAUAAAUAGAAGUUUCGGAUCUCUUAAAUUUUCUUUUGAAAAUAUCUCUUUGUUCUUAAAAUACGUUUAUAUUUACAGUACCCUUAUAAAAUUUUUGAUACAUUUAACACAAAUUUUUAAGAAUAACAAAUAUUCGCUCUAUAUCCCCAAAAAGACCCCAAAAAGAAAGUGCUUACACCAUACAUCUUAUAGUUUAGAAAUUCUUUGGAAUUUUUAUUAUUAUUUUAAAAAAAUUGAUAAGGCAUGGAUACAAUAAUCGCCCUUAAAUGAUAGAAUAUAAGAUUUAGAUAUAUUUUCAGAAUGUACAGGUAGCAUUGCCCAUUAAAAAUUGCAGCUGAGAGAAUCUCAAAUUUUAAAAUUAUGAAAUUUAGUAAAAUUUUUAAGUAACUAGAAUAAUUUAAAUAAAAAGAUUUGAAAUUUUAAAAAUAUCAAUCAAACCAAAAGAAGAGGCAAAUUUCAAUUUCCCCCAUAUAGUUUAACACAUUUUUUCUUUGCCAUUUUGUGACUCAAAAAACUGCACUAAAAUGUCUUAUGAUUUAGCGUGUUUUUAUUUUGCAACGUUGUGGUUGAAAAAGUUACACCUAACUAAUAUGUGAUUUUAUUUUUAUUUUAUUGUAAAAAUCUAUCGUUAAAUAAAAUACAAUCCUGUGAUUUUUAAUAAAUUUUAUUUUGCCACCCUAUUUGUUGGUAGAUUUUUUCGGUGAAACAAAAUAAAAUUAUAAAUAGUUAAUUGCAAUUUUUUGAAAUGGUAAAGUAAAAUAUACUAAAUUACAGGGGGCAAAUACCAAAAAAAAGGGCUGUUUCAAACAACUUAACGGUUAAGGGGGCCUCCGUACAUUUUUUUUGCUUUUGUUCUGGUUCAUCAUUGGGAACGGUCCACAGUGGGGAGAAAUUUAUGGUGGACCGAGUGUAGGUGUAGUGGACCCCACAAAAGAGAAAUCAGGAGAACCGCAUUGAAUUAAUAAGAGAAAACUUUAAAUACCACCCAUGUGGUUUCAUAUUUUUUUAUUUUAGUACUUUGUAAUUUAAAAUGUAUCAAUUUACUAUCUUAUGGUUUUAUUUUUAUCUUUUUAUGAUCGAUUUCACUAAUUUUUUUCGUUAAAUUACUGACAAAGUUAAAACAAAAGAGUAUUAAAGUGAAUAUUUGAUAAACCUAGAUGGGAUAUCUGAAAUUUUUUGUAUAUAAUUUAACAAAUAUUAACAAAGAAACUGACGAAAAGAUAAAAAUGAAAUCACAGGACACUAACUUGAUACGCUUUAAACCACAGGAUACCAAAGUAAGAAAUUGCGAAACCACAGGGUUGGUAUUUGAAGUUUACCUAAUUAAUAAUGAUUGCGAAACUACAAGAUAACACCAUGUGGGAUAACUCACGAUUUAAUCAAACAAACAAUAAUAAAUAAAUAAAUUUCCAUAUUUUCACUUGCCUUAAAAAGUUAUAAUUAAUUAUACUAUAAUUUUACUUUUUAUUUUAAAAAAAUAUUAAAUCUAUAAUUUAAAAAAGUUAUAGAAUUACAACUCUUAAUCCAGGGAUUAUAAUCAAGCCCCCUUAGCAUUUACAAAAUUCUUUUUUAAAUUUUAGUAAUAGAAAAAGAUUAAUUUAAUACAGUUCUUUAUAAACAUAUCAAAUAACAAAUAUAUUUUUACAAAGUUCAACUUUUCAUAUUUAUCCCCAUAAAAAUCUAGUGAUAUUCAUAUUUACUUCUCUGAUUUUUUUACCAUUAGAGCGUUAUUUAUUUUUUAGCAGAAAAUAAGUAUAAAUUUUGCCAUCACAACUAUAUUCUUUUCAAAGCUCCAACUAUUAAAAUUAUGCAGAAAUAUUAUUUCAAAAAUUACUAAUAGUCAUUUGUUUUGUUUCUACCAUCACAAAUAAUAUAAGAGGAGUAAAAAUGUCACUUUAUUUUAUUCACUAACUAGGAUCAAGUAUUUUACUUAUGGUUAACUGUACUUUUCUAACGAACCUAAUAUCAGGGGUAUAUUUAAAAACGUUAGUAUUUUUGUAGAAAUAAAUAUAAAAAAAUUAAAUAAAAAAUAUAUCUAUUAUUUGAAAUAUUUACAGAAAACUGUAUGCAAUAAAUCCUAAAACUAUUGAUAAGACAAGUAGAGAGAUUUGAGCUAUUGUAUGUUACGGUCGUAAGAUUACAACUAAAGGUUGGAAACCAAAGGUUGGAAACCAUAGAGUGAUAUUUUGUUUAACAGUAGACUCUUUUAUAGUGAAAUAAAAUAAAGGGACAAUUAUUUAUAUACUCCUAAAAAAUUUUCCAUAUUCUGAUUUACUCUUGUUAGAAAUCUAAUAUUGGAAAUACCUUUUUUACGUUCCAACCUAUUUCAAAUAUACCCCUAGAGUUAAAAUCUGUUAAUGAACUCUGUUAUCGGUAUAAAAUUACUAUUUUGCCCUUUCAAAUAUAUUCUUCCACUAUCACUGACCUUUCUUAUUUGCCCUUAAGUCAGGGACACAAAAAAUAUUUUCACUUUUGGUUUUUUCAAAUAUACCCCUCUUCCGUCAUCAAUAUUUUUUCUUAUAAGAUAUAUUUUUUAAUCCGUCACGAAAUAUUUAAAAAUAACUGGAACUUGGAAUCAUUUUGAAGUAAUUAUGGCCUUUAAAAUAUUUAAUUUUGCUGCGUAACUUUUCGGUGAAUUUAACUUGAUUUAUUCUUAUACCUCUAAAAAUGUUUUAUCCACAAACCGUAGUUUAGUUUGUUAUAAUUUUUUAUCCUAAGAAUUGAAUGAUUGAAAAAAAAAAAAAAAUCAAAAAAAAAAAAAAAAAAAAAAUACAACCUUGGCACCACAUUUACACCCCUGACUAAAUGAAAUCACUUUGGCAAGCAGCCAUGAGGUUUUUUUUUUUUAUUUUAUUUUAUUUUUUUUUAAGGGAGAGAGAGAGAGAGAGAGAGAGAGAGAGAGAGAGAGNAAGAACCCUCACUCCACACAAUUUUAAUCUUAUUAUAUUAUAUAUUUGAUUUUUAAUUAUUUCAAUCUAAGUUCUAUCUUUGGAUUAAACUAGAGAUCAAUUUAGUUAAGGGUUUGUCCGGUUCAAUGUAAAAUUAUGAAAAAUAAUUCUUCGUAAAAUUUUUUUUUUUAUGUUUUGUAGUGUUUGGUUUGUAGAAAAAAAAAAGUAGCUUUUCAUCGAUAUUUAUUUGGUUAAAAAGAAAAAAAAAAUUACAUUUGUUUGAUUCGGUUGAAAAAAAAUGAAUGUAAAAAAGUUUACACAACUUAAGUUUUCGUUUUUCGCUGAAAAACAGCGAAAAACGAAAUCUUCAAAUUUUUUUUUGCCAAAUCCAUAAAAGUACUUUUACGCCGAACCAAACGAGCGAAAGAAAUAUUUUCAUAUCAAAAAAUAAAUUUUUAUUCAUUUUAUGCCGAACCAAGCGCCCCCAUGAUUACUUUGAUUUAAUAAAUACUUUGAUGGUAAAUAUAGAUUGGGAACGAUGCGGAUGGGUACCGCAUGACGAGCGACGCACCCGUCGCAGAAACAGAAACCGAAAAGGUAAAAAAAAAAAAAAAAAAAAAAAAAAUCGUACGCACUGAUUUCUUUAGAGAGAGAAAAUAAUGCAGAGGAAAAAAAGAGAGGGUGAGAUGGGCCACGCCACGCCCAUUCAGAGAGUCCCCAAAUAAUCUUAUUUGGAUAGUAUUGGCGUGUUUGAUUCGCUUCUUUUUUAUCCUGGAAUCGGAAUCGGAAUGAAUGAAUCUGUUUGUGGGUGUUUGGUACGUGGGAGUCCCUUUCCGAUUCCGAUUCCCGAGUGGAAUGGGAAUCCCCCAAUUAUCUCUUUUUCCAAUAACAUUUUUUUGGAUGGGAAAUAGUGAAAGUUGAAUCCGGACAGAAUGGAUAUUUAUUCGGAUUAAAUUUAUUUUUUCAACUUUUUUAAUUAAAAAUAUGAGUUAAAAUUUAAAAAAUAAAUAUAUAAUUUUAAAUUUUAAUUUGAACUUAAAUUAAAAAUUAAAAUUUAAUCAAGUAUUUCGAAUCUAACUUAUGAAUUUGAAUUUAAAUUAAAUUUUAAUUUAUAUAAAGUUUUAUUCAAAUUUUAUUUCAAACUUAAAUUAAAUUUAUGGAUUCAAAUUACAAUUUAAAUUGUAAUUUUAAGUUUGAAUUUGAAUAAAUCAAAAUUUUAGUUUUAUAUUUUGAAUUAUCCACUCAACUUCAAAGUUUAAUUUUUUUUAAACAAUAGAUUUAAAAUUUGGACAUUAUUUCAAAAUUUUGAUGUAAACUUUUAAUAUUUAAUUUUUAAUUUCAAUUUAAAGUAAUAUAUUAUAAAGAUAAUGUUAGUAUAUUAAUUUGAUUACGUUUUUUAUAUCCACCUUAACUAAACUCCAACAAUGGGAAUGAUUUAUUCCGAUUCCGAUUCAGGUGAUGAACCAAACAGAAUUAAUUAGAAUUAGCUCUUACAUACUGUUGGUGUAUAAAAUUAUGACCUAUGUUGGUGAUCGAUUCGGCUCAUGUGGUCGAGUAAGAAAGCGACACAUGGUACAUCAAGAGUAGUUUCAAAUAUUGCAGUAAUAUUUUAGGGCUUGUUUGAUUCAUCCAUUUUGGGUAUGGAAUGGGAAUCGAUUUGAUUAAAUCCGGUUAAUUUUGUUUGGUUCGCAUGAAUCAGUUUGGGAUUCCUAUUCCGGACUGGAAUGGGAAUGACCCAUUAGCCUUCAACUUGAUUCCGGUCUUCUAGCCCUGAUUGAGAUUUCAUUCCGGAAGCCCACUAAGUUCUCGAAGCCCAUGUGACCAUCUCACCCUCCUUCUCUUCACCCCUUUCUCAUCAAACAAAAAAAAAAAUCUAUCCUCUCUCAAAACCCUAUCCCUAACCCACAUCAAUAAAAGUUUUUAAAAAUAAAUUUGAUAUUUUUUUUGAAAAACUUAUUAGAGAAUAGUAUUAUAUUUUUUAUAAAUUUUAAACAAUAUAAAUUUAUAUUUGAGAGUAAAAUUACUAUUAUAGUAUCCUAUAAUUUUUUAGUUUAUACGAAUCAAACAAUGAAAUGUGAAUAACUCAUUCUAGUUCCCAAUCCACAAAUAAACCAAACGUCUAGGAGGAAUGGGCCAUUCCAAUUACCAUUCCAAUUCAUUCUCAUUUCAUUAUCCAUUCCAAUUUCACUCUUGAACCAAACAAGCCCUUAAUGUAUAAAACUAAACGACGAAUUUGAAUUUGUAUAUAGCUACAACUAUAACUUCAUGCAACCAAAUAACCCCGGAUAUUUUUUGAAAUAUGCUACCUAUACACACUCCUUGUAUGUGCAUAGAUCUUGCAUUUCAAGAUCUAAAGGUUGAUAAAAUCAUCUUAGGUUUUAGGUUUUUUUUUAAAAAAGAAAAGACAAAAGUGAAAACAAAAUGGGUGGCAAGAAUACUUUGGGUGUGUAAUUUACAUCUGCCCUAUGGCCUAUGGGUGUCAGGAUAGCAUUGCUUGUAAAGUUUAGGCUAAAUUACACUUUUAUUCCUCAAAGUAUAAGAGCGUAAUAUUUUAAUUCUCAAAUUUUAAUUUAUCAUAUUUUUUGUCUUAAUUUUUUAGAUUGUUGCAGUCAACUCAUUCAGUCUAAAUAAUUGAACCAGAUGGUGAUGUGUCAAAUACUACAAUGAUGUGACAGUAUUGCGGUUUAAAUAUGAUGAUGAUAAUAAUAAUGAUAUAAUGAUAUGCCGUAUUAUUAUUUUAUUAGCAACAUAUUAAUAUUUAGUUAAAUAAAUUAAAUAAUAAAACUCGAUAAAGAAGUUUAAAAAUCGAACUAAAAAUUAUAAUGAAUUAAAGUUUGAUAAUUAAAAGUGUCAGCCGCUUCAUAAUUUAAGGGCCACAAGUGCAAUUUAGCCGAAGUUUAAUUUGUUUACAAAUUCAAGUCCCAAUCUUAUUAUGCCAAUUUCUAUCCUCCAUAUUACUGUUGUUUCAAACAGUUCAAAAUUUUAAGAUGAUUGUUGAAUUCAUCUCCAAACUUUAUAAAUUUAAGUUGAAAGAUGAUAUUGAUCAUGUUCGAGUAUACGAUCGCACAAGUUGAGCAAGUCGAUCAAGAAAAUGUUAAAUUUGUAUCAUUUUGAGUUGGCUCUCUUGCCUUCUAAACAGAGUUUAUCUGAACUAUGAAUUGUUUUGAGCCGGCUGUCCAAUCCUUCAAAAUUUUAAUUUUACUAUUUAAAAUUUUAAUUUAUUUAAUUUGAAUUAGACGACAAUACUUUGAUUUAAAAAAUUUAAUAUGUCGUUUAUCUUUACAAGUUUAGUUAAUAUACUUUAUAUAAUUCUCGCAAUUAUAAAUUUAUUAAAGUAAUUAAUUAAAAUUUUACAGUCAAAAUAUCGUUGGCUGACUUAACUCGAACAAAUUAAAAAUUUAAGCAGUAAAAUUAAAUUUUCGGAAGGUCAAAAUAGCUAACUCAAAAUGGUAUAUAGUUCAGAUAAGUUCUAUGCGAUUAAAAAAAAAAAAAAAAAAAAAAAAAAAAAAAAAAAAAAAAAAAAAAAAAGGCGCAAGUGGAGAUUAAAUAUUCUUCAUGAAUUAAAUGAAUUCAACAAUCAUUCUGAACAUUUUGGUAUCCCUGAGACAAUUGUAAAUUAUGGAAUUUAAAUUUAUACAUUUUUAUUUAUUAAAAACGUACGAAACUCACUUGAACUACAAUGAAUUUUGAUUCAAUGACUUAACAUUUAAAUAUUUUGACUGUUCAACCUGAUCUUCUAACUCAUUUAAUUUGAGAUAUUUAAGGACUCUUUAAAUUUUAAAUUUGAAUAUGUUUGAUUAUUUUUGCAAACUUAAUUAGUUUAUUUCAUAUAAUAUACGCGACUAUAAUUUUAUUAAAGUAGAUAGGGUGUCCAAAUGGCCGAAAUCAAAUAAAUUAAAAGUUGAGAUGCUAAAAUCAAAAAAAUUUAAAAAUUAGGUACUCGAAUCAAAACGAACCAAGGUUCAGAUAAUAUUGAUUCAAUCUUCUUUUUUUUUUAUGCACGAAAAUAAUUAAUACAUUACGUGGGAGUGCAGGGAUUUUAUUAUUAUUAUUUUACUAAUCUUCUCGAUUUAUUUUUUUCAAUACUACAAUCGUAAAAAAGAUUAUAAAACUCUUAAAUAGAUAAUAUAAGAUGUGCACGCUACUCAGAUGGUGUACAUAUAGAAUUUUUCUUAUUUUAAUGGCUUGAAUUAAAAGUAAAGCGUGGGUGAAAAAGCGAAAAUGUUUAUUCAUUCUAAACUAAGAAGGGAAAAGAAUAGGGAGCACAUUUGUUGUAACCUCGUGCCUCGUACUAUGAUUCAUGGUUGACGAGCAGUGAGAUCAACAAUAAGGGAUGUAAGAUUUACAUUCCUAUAAUCCAUGACUAAUAAGACUUCUGUAUCUUGUCAAAUUUUUUUUUUCUUAAAAUAUUAAAAAUAUAUUAAAUAUUGUGAACUCUAAAAUAAGGGUGUAAAAUCUAUAACCAUCUUAGGGAUGUACCUGUAGAAUUACCCUUUUCCCACACACUUCUCCAGGAACAUGUAGGGUAAUCAUUGUACCUGAGUUCAUUACAACCAUAAAUGAGAAAAGGCCAAAAGUUAGACAUAGAUGGUGGCAUUGCAGAGGAAAAAAUGUAUGGAUAUUCACUGUACUACAGUGACUUAGUUUAUGCACUCACAAUUUAACCACUGUUCUUUCCAUGUCUGAUCAACAUGCCUAUCCUUGGAUCUUCUUAGUUCAGGAAUCUAUUUAUGAAAUAUGGAAUAGUUCAGGGAAGGUCCAUAAUGUUUUGCCUUUAUUCUAUUUCCCAAUAAUGCAACUUUGUUCACUGUUCUCUUAUUCUGUUUCCUACUAAAAAAGAAAACUCUAGUUACAUUAAUGGAAAAAUUAUUGGAUGGUACUUUUGGAAGGACAUUUGGAAAUACCUUAUAUCUGAAUAUAUAGCCAAGGAUGCCAGUAGGAAGGAACCAACUUAAGAUUUUUUUUUUAAAAAAAAAAAAUAGUGAACUUCAAUUUGGCCCUUAGUGGUUUAACACAUUUUCAAAAGUUGCACUUAACUACCCUAUAUUUUAUUCUUAUUUCACCAUAAGUACUUACCAUUAAAUAAAAUUAAAUAAAAUAAUAUUGUGAAAACCAAAGGAUGAUAUAGCAUCAAGUUUUAUUAUCCUAUAAUUUACACUUUACUACCUUAUGGCACUUAUGAGCACCAUUUUUAUAAGUGGCGGUUUAAAGUGUUGGUCAUUUAACAUUUACUAGCAAUUUGUAAGAAGUGCCAAUAAAAUAACUACUGACAGAUGUUUAAUCGGCACUUGCGAGUGCUGCAAAAAACCGCCGCGGAAAAAACUUUUUCUGCCACUUGUUAUACAUUUUUCGGCUGUUUAAAUUGCCCCUCAAAUCUCUUUUGGUUCUGAUUAACUAUACUUAAUAGUGGGUCCAUGGGUGAAACAAAAUUAAAAUGAUAAGAUAAUUAAAUACAACUUCUUGAACCUCAGAUUGGCAAAGUGAAAACGCGCUAAAAAUUAAAAUUUACCUAAAAAAAAAACAGCUAUGCAAUUCCCAUAUUAUAAGGUCCAAAUAAGCACAAGGACAAGGUUAUAAAGGUAUGUAAAUCCAAAAAAGAGAGAACAAAUAAAGUUGGUGAUCAUGCUUAAGUGUCCUAUUCCUCAACAUUGCUCAUGAAACUCACAUUUACAAAGCUAAAUGUCAUGCUCCAAGCAAAACUCAUUGGUUCCAAAUGCAAAGAAUGUGACAGCAAAAAUUAAAAAAGCAGAACAACAUAGAGCUCAAGAUGUCAAGACAAGAAGGAGACAGAUAAUUUCUUUAGAUGAAAGAGAUGCAGUAACUAACAGCCUCAUUCAACACUUGAAAAUAACCCCCAAAAGCAAAAGUAAAGAGUGCUCUGAAUACUAACCGACAUUUCGUAGGGCCUUGAAUCUGUGGAGGUGAUGCUGAUACAGUCCUAUGUGAUGCCUACAAUCCACCUGUUGAUUGCCACAAUGAGACUUUCCCCUCAAUCAAUGAUAAUAUCAGUAAAAUAUAUAAAUCUUGUAGUAUCUAAUAAGCGUACGACAGUAGAUAAAAUUCAAUAUUUGCAUCAUAGAAGAAGCUUGUGUAGCAUAUUAAUGCUAUUCAGUAGAAGCAGAUUACUCUAUCACAGUAGGAAAGAAAGCAUUCUCUAAUUCUUUGCUGAUAGUAGUAUAUCGAAUAUCGGGCUAUCAUUCGUUCCGCAAGAAUUUAUAAUUGCUCCUGGAUAUACAGAGAGAGAGAGAAAUAACAGUAGAGAUUGCUGAUUUGCAGUUGAUACCAACUGUAAGAUUCUUGAGAAAGAAACAUUCUGAAAAUACAUAACCAAGACAGAAAUUAAAACUACGGCACAAAGAGGUAUACAAGAUAAGCAUAUGCUUGUGGCAAUCAGUUUGAAUCAGUUUGAAACAGACCAGGCAACUUACACCAUAUAUCCUUGUACUGCCCAUCCAUUAGCUAUCUUUUCCUUUCUCUCCAUCAUGGUCACCACUGUAAAUAAUUUGUUGCUAAGUUCUUCUUUCAUUAACAUGAAGCUGAACUCAAACAUUCGAUUCUCUAUUUUUGACAAAAUGAUUGAAACAACAAAAAGUGCUACUAACCGACCGUCCCUAGAGUAAGUGGCAAAGGGCUUGAUAGUUGGUACCCGAGACCCAAGUUCGAAUCCUAGUUGAUUCACAUUUCUAGCUUAGUUUAUUUCUAAAUGAAAUAAACGAAGCGGGUAGCGUGCUACCUAUCUCUCUCAAAAACACAAAAAGUGCUGCUAAAUUAUAUGAAACAACUGUUUUUCUUCAAAAGUUUAAGCUACUAGAUAACCGUGUUUUCAGUAUUUAUAUUUAACACUCCCCACUACGUCUAGGCUCGAGAUGUUUUAAUAAAUCUAAGACGUGGACUCGAAUUAAACGGAGGGAAAUUAAUGAUGCUAGGAGCCGGGUGGGAUUUGCACUCAGAACAUCAUGUUUUAAUACUACAUUAAAUUAUAUGAAAUAAACGUUUUUCUUUAAAAGCUUAAGCUACCAAAGAACAGUAUUUUUAGUAUUUAUAUCCAACACACGAAGCCUGCUAUUACUACAAAAGUGACAAAAAUAUACAAGAAGCUAGGCUGCACAAAAGCUUAUAAAUCAUGCUGAUCGAUUCCAGCCCGCCCUAAAACGGCCAACACUAGAAUCCACUAAUUCAAAUUCUAAAAAUCUAAUAAAUCAUGAUAUGAAGCAUAGUUUAUACCAGAAAAACUAAUUUGAGUUGAUUCACAAAAGACAUUCGAGUAAACUUUAUCUCCUUACUCCUUAUGAAUGAAGAGCAAACUCAGAUCAAUGCUACCUAGAAUGGGAUGCAUCGUGUUAUGUUGCAUGUGUAUGGGGACAUGGUGCGCUAGUUUCUGGGGAACGCGGCCCAAGGAGGGUACGAUUAUUCGGAAGGUUAUUCCAAAAUGUGGUUCUUUCAGAACGUCGAUACGGUCAUAUAUGGUAUCAACUGUCCACGAUACUGAAAAGCUGGAGCAUUUCAUGAUUUGGCGGAGUACUGCUCUGACAAUCAAACGCUACUUGAGUCAAAAUUAAACUUUUGCACUUGAGUUAGGAGCCAGAAAUUCUUGUGACAUUAGGUUAUGCACAAAGGCCUCGACUUAUAUUAAUUAUAGUUGCAUUUCAGUUUCCUUCAUCUAUGAUCUAGACUUCAACCACGCCCAGCAGAAUAUCAUAGCGCCAAUUUAAGCAACAAGCGCUCCUAUAAAUUUCAUGCCAAGCUCCCCUCUCACGUUCAUUAUUUUGUCCAUUAGCUCUACUACAAUAUCUAGAUGAUAGAUAAAAGAGUUCAACAAGACACAAUAACACAAGCAACCACUCCGUUAAAGGAGACUUAUCAACUUAGAGCCUAUUUCAGUACAUGAAAAUCUCGUUCAGCAUAUCUAUUUUGUUAACUCGAUGGGCAUGCGGUGAUUGGUUUAUGCCGAGUAUGCAUAUGUCUAUAAUUGCAUAGUAUUUACGGACUCAAAGACUUUUUCCUCAGGAUACAAUAAAACACUCUGUUAGUCGAAUGCAUUAUCCUUAAAAUCACAUUAUAAGGAUCUUGCAAGAACUGAAAUUGAACUUCUAGGUUGCGAUCAUAAACAUAAAUCUCAUAUUGCACAAGCUAUCAUUGAUUUAUAACUUGUUCUGACAUCCAAACAAGCCCCUAUUUUGUUCUAGCCCUAUAACCUCGUAUUUUUGCAAGAAAGUCUUGGAUUAAAGUGAAACUCUGGCAGUAUAUCUUAUGCCAAAACAAAACGAGAAACAACUAAGAAGAAAAUAACCUCCAGCUAAUCAGCAAAACAGUUGACAGCUUGAUAAAGGAAUAACAAAUUAAUAUUUCACCAUAAAUUAUCCCAAAAAGAAAAAAAAGGAAGAGCAACUACAUGGUGUUCAGCACAAAGCAGAUAAAGCAUCAUCACUCAUAAUAUCUAAACUUUCGUAGGACAGCACAUCCAGAUACAUAAACAUACAUAUACAUAAACAUUGUGACGAUAAAUAAAAAUUCAUAAAGACAGGAGAACAUAAGCAAGCAAAUUGGACAAUUAGAAAACCACAGUAGCAACCAUAUGUCGCUUCACAAGCAAGAUUAAAAAGCUCAAAGAGGGUAAGAACAACAACUUAGAUAUAGCAAAUUCAUUUUUCAUUAAGAUGGGAAAAAGAGAAAUAUGAGGCCGUUUCCAGCAAUAUGAAAGUUCAUGCAAAAUGUUAAGCACAAAUUAUCCAUUAUUUUUCUCUUUUUAUUGGAAAUGCCCAUCUGAACAAGCAAAAACGAGUACAGAUCUCAGCAAGAGAAGGUUGAUUCGGACACAACUGGAAAAGGUUGAGCCAUAAACACUAGUAUCAUUAAAAUCUUCACCAUCAAAUUAACAAAAUCAAGAUGAAACAACAAAUCAAAAAACAAACAACCUUUUUUUUUUGUUCUCUUCUCUACAUAAUCAUCGGUUAUACCACUGGAGAGUCACGUCAAAUCUGGCUCUGAUGCAAGCUGAUCCACACUCAUCAGCCUCAUAGACCUAACCAUGAAGUCAUCAGAAGCACGGAUUCGAACCAACCUAUCUCGUAUAGACACAAACGAUGGAACUUCCAACACUUCAGAUGCUCUCUCUCGAUAAGCCGGAUCUUCAGUAAAAUUCAUUAAAGCUUCAGCGGCGUAUUCUCUCAGCUCCUCCGCGUCAUUUCUCAACACACCAAUAAGAACAUCGACGGCCCCUGCUUCAGCCAUAGCUUCCCUAUUUGCUCCUUCGUAGCUUAGUUGCCCAAUGGCCGCCGAAGCCUUUUCUUUUAACUCGUCAUUUCCAUUUUCAAGAAGCUUAACCAGAAUCGGAAUUACGCCCGAACUUCGAACUACCGAAACUGAAUGAGUGUACCCAGAAAGGUCCCAAAUAACGUCCGCCGCUGCCGCUUUCGCAUUUUCAUCUCCACUCUGAAGAAUCCUCACCAAAUGUUCUAGUAUCAACGCGGCAUUCUCUUCAGCCACGGCCAAUACGCAAAACACAUCUUCCGCGAUCUCUUUCCCGAGAGGUUCGGCUCCUUGCAGAAGCUCCACGUACAAAGGUACGGCACCGGCCUCUGCCACAAGCCGCAGGUAGUCUACGUGAGAUGAGAUUAUUCCAAGCGCAUUGCCCGCGAUUAACCUAGCCGAUUCAUCACCAUCCUUUAGUAACCCGACAAGUGCUCGUAUCGCCCCCAAUUCCACGAGCAUAUGCCUGACCCUCCGCGCGAUACCGAGCAACCCGAGGGCCUGCGCCGCGCGAGUUCUCGAAGCCAUUUUACCAUACGAAACGGCUUCGAUGAGGUAGGAAAGGCCGCCUAAAUUCGCGAUCACCCUCCGCACUUCUCUAAGCAAUGCCAAAGCGCUGAUGAUUUCCAGCAAGUACUUCUUCGUAUCGUCGGCGCAAACAGAGACCAGAUCCAAAAUAGCUUCCAAACCCCCACUUCGCAUGAGGAUCACCCGAUUGGGGUGGUCGAACGAGACGAGCGCGCUUAGCAAUCUAAGCAGAAUUCUCCGGAAUCGGUAUUCGGAAUCGGGCAGCAGUCUGAGAACUACUGGAAUUGCACCGGAUUGGCCGAUUAUCGGGGCCAGCCGGCAGCCGAAGCUGCAGGCAACAUGGCACAAAGCGUAGGCAGCGGCAGACCAGAGAGUCGGACUCGAGCCGCGGGCUCGAUUUGCGAGCCGUGCGAGCUCUAAAGUGGCUUUGGCCUGCAAUUUUUCGGCCCCAUCGGUUUCGACUACGCGUAUGUACAAAUGGACUGCUUCGUCCCAAUCAAUGCUGCUGCUACUACUGCUGCUGCUGCUGCUGCAACUACUACUACCGUGGGAUUCAGAAACUGGGGCACAAUCCAUGCUAGUAAAAAUAUUGGUGAAUUCCUAGAAAAAGUAGCUUCAUAUAGAAAGGAAACCAAAGCAUUCGACCUAUAUAAGCACUUUAUAGCAAUCAAAAAACGCAAAAAAAAAGAAAAGAAAAAUUGUUUAGGGUUUCGGUAAUAAUGGGUUCGGGACGGGGAGGAAACCCUAGAAUUGAGGCAUCAACUAUCGAUCGUCGUGCGGGGAAUCUAAUUUGACUGACCGGGAUUAAGAAACGGAGGGGCUCUCCGAAGGGUUUUUGCUCGUCAGAUUAUGCUCGUGUGAUAUUAUUUUCGCAUUCGCAGGUUUUUUUUUUUUUUUUAAUAUUUUUGGCCGAGCACGGUUCCCAUUUCCCAACCCAGAUAGAUCGACGCCGGUCGGGCCUUGUACCGAAAGGGUGCGUUUGGUUCAGGUAUAAGUAAAAAUUACUUGUUCCAGGAAUAAGUACAAGUUCAGGUAUAAGCGGAAAUUAGACCAAUUUUACGUUUGGAUGAAAAUUGAAUUGUUCCUAGUAAUAAAAUAAAUAGCAUUUGGAUGGUUAAAUUGGAAUAAAUAAAUAAUAAAUAAAAAUUCAUUAUAAAACUACAAUUAAUUAAUCUAUUAUAUUACAAUUAAAGUUUAAUAUUGAAAAUAAGAAGAAGNAAUAAUAAUAUCGAUUAUCUAUUUCUUAAGAAUAAUAAUUAUUAAUAAUUAUUAUUUAAUUAAUAAUUAUUAAUAAAUAAUAAUUAUUAAAUUAAUAAUUAUUAUUAUCUAAUUAUAAAUAAUUAAUUAUAAUUAAUUAUUUAUUUAUUUAUUUUAUUAUUUCAGCAAUAGAUAAUAAUUGAAAUAUAUUAAUUAGAUUAAUUAAUAAUUUACUAUCAUUAAAAUUUAAAUUUAUAUUUAAUUAACCUUGUUCUCAUUCGGGAACAAGCUUGUUCCAGGAAAAAGGUGGAACAACAGUUCCAGCUAGUUCCAGUCUUAUACCAGAUAGUUCCAGAAACCCAGGAACUACUGUUCUCGGUUACCAAACGUUGCAUUUGGGAACAAAGGGGGGAACAAGGGCUUAUUCUCCCCCUUGUUCCCGAACCAAACACUACCAAAAAGUCUAGAAUGUACCCGUUACAUUGUUGAUGUGGUAUUUUUAACCAAUUAAUUUUUUUUAAAAAAAAAUUUAAAAUGCAACACUUAUGACUAAUAUUGCUGUAUUGGUAUUCCUAACCACUCAAAAUGCUCUCCUAGAAUUUACCCAGCCAACCAUAAUUUUUUAAAUAAUAUUUUUAUUAUAUCGUUUUUCUCAAAAAAAAAGAUAUGAUUGAUUAGGGAUAAAUUAUGCGGUGUAAGUGUUAUACAGUAGGCUUCCUCCUCCCCCUUAAGUUCAUUCAUUCCAUUGUAGUUAUUAAAAAAUAUUUUUAUUAUACUUUUCUGACAAAUAGAGAGAUAUAUUGACUGAUUGUUGAUGAUGUGGUGUAAGUGUAAUAUAGUAGAAUUUUUUAUUUUUAUAAUAAAUAGUUGCACUAAAAUUUUAUUAUUUUUAACGAAUUUAUCUACAUCCUAUUCUAAUCCUACAUAUUGGUCAAAUUUUAUAGAUAAGAAUUUACUUAGUUUCAUGUCUUUACUUUCGAUUAAUUUCACUAUUUCAUUACCAUUUUUUUUUUCUUAUAGUUUUACAUAAAACCAAACAACCUCUUACUCGAAAAUCAAACAUGCCAAAUAACUCACGAAUAGAAGUGCAAAUAGCUUCAGUUUGGUUGAGCUCCUAUUCCGCAUAGGGCAAUAAGUGAGAACUAAAAAUAUAAAUAAAUAGGCUAAAUUACAGAAAACCUCCCUAUAAUAACCCGCUUUUUCACUUCCCCCCUGACAUUUAAAAACCUACACUUUGCUCCCCUGUAAAAUGAAAAAUGUGCACUUCACCUCCUACCGUUAGGGUUCCGUUAAAAAAUAAUUUUUUAUGCCGAAAAUACCCCUCUGCCAUUGCUGCCGCCGCCUCCCCGCCCCGCAUUAUGCUCCCGUGGCCGUAAUUCGCAGUGCCGGAGGUGAACAUGUCGCUCCGCGCGACGGGCCUCAGCGGCGCCGCGCCGGGUUUCGCCGGGCCUUAGCGGCGCCGUGCCAUGCCGUGCUCGUCGUGGAGGCUGCGGUGGGGAUGAUCGGGACGAAGCCCGUGCGGCGGUGCCCGGGUUUGGAAGCGGCGGCGCCGGCGGAGUUGUGAGCGGCCUUCCUGCUCGACCUGAAGAGAAACUCGCCGGAGUGAGUUUGGCGCCCCGCGAGGCCGGCGGAGGAGAGUGAGGAGAGAAGAUGGGGAAGAAGACGACAAUGGCGAGGGACAAAAUGGUCAUUUUACACACCGUAACUCCCUUCUGAACAUUUUUUAUUUUACAGGGGGGCAAAGUGUAGGUUUUUAAAUGUCAGGAAGGAAAAGUAAAAAAGUGGAUUAUUAUAAGGAGGUUUUUUGUAAUUUAGCCAAAUAAAUAUAAUCUAUUUUGAAUUCGUUUCGAUCCGUCAAGUGCAGGAGACGAGAGAUCCGUGUUUUUCUUCGAUCUAUUCUAACGUGCUAAAAAAUUGUCAAAAAAUUCGAUCCUCUCUUCCAAUCCAUUUUUAAGAUUAAGAUUAAUUCGUUCCGAAUUCUCUGCCGUCCGGUCCGUCCACGUUUGCAUCUCUAAGGACGGACAGGGAGCAGCGUUUUCCCUAUUUAUUAGUGGAUAAGAGCCAAGAAGAUAUUCCGCCUCCGGGGGCUUUCUCUCUCCUCUCUCUCUCUCUUUCCAAAAACCAACCAUUCGCCGCUCACCGUUCACCACCAGUAAUGGGGAAAGCGUUUCCUUCUAAUUCCCCCCGACCUUAUUCUCCUUAGAAACAGGGGACGCAACAAUUCACUUCAAUGGCGCUGCUAGGUCUCCACCCCUCUCCCCUCUUCUUCUCCUCCCCUCCUCCAUCUUCUUCAUCUUCUUCUUCUUCUUCUUCUUCUCCUCUCUACGGUCUGCGCCGUUGCCUCGCCGUCGUCGGCUUCGCCGUCUUCUCCUCCCACUCCAACCCCCGCCUCCUCAAGUCCGGCCGCCGAUCUCGCCAUGGCCGGAGAACGCCGCCCUACAGCGACGAUGCGGAGGAGGAGGAGGGGGAGAGCAAAGAAGAGGAGUUCUCUGAUGAUGUGAGUGGCUUUGAUUAUAUUGUUAUUUUCUUGUUGUUUGAUUGAUGUGUUGGAUUGGAUUGUCACAUCCUAUUAUUCCCACCUCUGAUCAGACCAAAAAGAAAAGAAAAGAAAAGAAAAGAAAAGAAAUUGUGUGUGAUUUAGGUUUAAGCAUUUUUGGGCCAGUGGUUUGGGUUGAACGAAUUAUUAGCGCUAAUAGGCUCGGACGUUGUAUUUGAUAUCAGAACCAAUUUGAAAAUAUGUGAUGGGUCUCACAUUUCAUGAUGCACAGUGCACUAGUAAUAAUAACUGGAUUUAAGUAUUUUGGAUUGGUGAUUUAAAUCCAACGAGUUAUUAGUGCUAAUAGGUUGGGUCAUUGCAUCUUGUGAAUUGAAUCCUUAUCUUGAAUUGUUUAAGGUUUUUUGUGAUCCCGUUUUUGUAAUUGAAUUGAUGAUGCUGAUUAAUCGAAUCAUUCAUGCUAGUUAAUGAUGUUUCGCUCUAAAUUCGUUAUUCAGUUUUGUGCAUAGUUCUGUUCUUGUGCCUGUAAGCAGCACCAACACUCCUGUGGGUGUUGCUGUAUUGGAGUUUGGGCUCCUUAUGCUGAUGUGCUUUGAGUCGAGUGAGAUGGAGAUGUGUUGUUUGAUUGAGGACGGAGUGGCGUCUUGUUGGUGGUUGGGGUGAGGUUAAUUUCAAUGAUUGGUUGUACGAUAUGGGAUGGUGUGUGUCAUGCCUGCCGUGCUUAUGUAGACGGGUCAAAAACCAACUUGUGUGACAACACAUAUUGGCUUAAAAAACUUAUUUCUUUGGCAUCAAUAUAUUUUAAUUGCCUAUUAUAUAUCUUUGUCAAAUUUUCUGAAUUUUAUUAAGAUAACUAUUUGCUAAUUGCAAAGAAAAAGGAUUUUAAGACAUGCCAUCAUCAUAGGGGUCGUAUCAUGCUGGUAUCUUGUUAGCAUGAUAAGCCACGAUGGAUGCGGCCCAUGCUGAUGGGCAUUUGAAUCCUUAGGUUGAGUUUUGGUGGUGUGGAAAAGGGUGAGAGAGAGGUGAUUUGGUGUUUCACUUGUGAAUGAGAUUUUAUGGGCUUUGGAAGAGAGACUUGUCAAGAAGAAGUAUUGCUGUGGUGUGCUGUUUCUUGACAAUUUGUUGUGAGAACAACUAUGCUGUGGUGUGUUGUUUCUUGGUAAUUUGUUUCUGAAAACAGUUAUGCUAUGGUGUGCUGUUUCUUUAGGAUCAGUACGUUGCUCCUCAUGAUAUUUUCAAUCCUAGCCCACUGGUGCUCUUCAAUCACUAAUUAUACUUGCCCAAUCGCUAUCAAAAAUGCCAUAGAUAGAAAAUUCUUAGUGUACCAUAACUCGAGACUAAUGCUUCCAUUGGAAUAUCUCAUAAUUUUCUUUCACUGCACUCUUUUUCAUAAACUAAGGUAACUGCAAGUUCCUUGCACAAUAAUGGCUCGGUAUUUAUCACUUACAAGUAAUUUCGGUGGACAGCGCGUUGGUACCCUCCUUUUACCCUCAAUAUUUGAUGCUUCAGCUAUCUUAUUGUUAGGCACGAUGCUGCCACCUGCUGCGUAACUAUCUCUGUUGCCUAUGCCUGGGAGAUAUUGCAGAAUUAUGCUCCUUUACCUUGGUGCAUAAGGAGUCACCAACUAUCGCUGAUUGUGGCUCCAUUUUUAGUCCAGGCCAUCCUUUGUUAACCCUACUGCACUGAAUGUUCUUCCCCCUGCCACCUCUCUUUCCUUUGCUUUGCUACCGUCUCCCCUCUACCACUUCUUCGCCUCUUCCUGUGUUCCUUCUAAACCUCUGCUGGCAACUGCUGCUGCCUUAGUUGCGCCGACACUAAAAUCCCUCUGCCUGAUCAUAGUUUAUGGUCUCUUUCUUCGUUCCUUCAAGCUGCUGUGUCACCCUCAUCACCCUCCCUUCUAUUAUAGGAUCCUUCAGUAACAACCGAGAAAUGCUUGUCCAGUCUUUCAACUUUCAGUCAGAUGGUUCAUUCGCUUGUGAUUUGGAUUUUGAUCUAUCCCAUGUUGGAUUUGAUCUGAAUUCAGCUGUAAAUUAGAGGUUGCUGGUAUAGUUGCAUCUGUUGCCAUCGCUUUUCUUCCUCCUUUAAGCCAGCCCGCUUCCCUACCGUUCAUCCUCCACCUUGGUUCACGCCCUUCCUCUUUCACUCUCUUAUAGAGUUAGUUCUCUAUAAAGUUGAGUUUAGUGAUGUAAACAGAAUCUGAGCUCUAUUUAAAGAUAUGUAUUCCACAGGACAGGAUCAUCCGUGUUUCUCUCUCUCUCUCUCUCUCUCUCUCUCUCUCUUUCUCUCUCUCUCUCGUAGCUUAGGGGCUGUUUGGUUGUACGCAUUUGCAACUGCAGUGCAGUUGCAAAUGCAUGCAGCCACAAUUCCUUUGUUUGGUUUAGUGUAGUUGAGUUCAAUUGCUGCAGUUCCAACUGCACAAGAAGGGCCAAAUGCUGCAGUUGGAACUACAUUCAAAUUGGUCGUAGUUCCAACUGCAGCAGUUGGUGAGGGAUAGGAUCACCCACAAAUUAAUAAUAAUAAAUAAAUAAAUAAAUAAAUAGCUAAAUAAAUAAAUAAUAUAUGUAUUUAGGUAAAUACAAAUACUUAUAAAUAAACUCAUACUAAUAAAAUUUUUUAGACAAUCAAGCUUUGUGCAAAAAAUUAAUUUUUUUAAAUUUAUUUUAUUUAAAAUAUAAAUAUAGUUUUUUUUUCUAAAUUUUUAUAGAAUGUGAUCGUGUAUGUUAAUUUAAUAAGUUUUAAUUAAUUAUAAUUAUUAAAUUUGAUAAAAAAAAAGAGAGAAUCGUUUAAAUUUUUAAAGUUUGAUUUACAUAUUAAAAUUAAAUAAAUUAAAAAUUUUAAAUGUGUCGAUUAAUAAGUUGAAGAAUUAUUGAAAAAUAUAAAAAUAUUAUAUAUAUCUACUUAUUUAUUUAUAAAUAGUAAAUUUAAAUAAUUAAUAAAUUUAUAUAAUUAUUUUAUGUUUAGUGAAGAUAACCUCACCACUCUAUCUGAAGAGGUGACAAAAUUCAUAAAUACAACUAUCAACUUCAUAUUACCAAACAGAAGAAAUGUAACUGCAGCAGUUGCAACUGCGUAAAACCAAACAGACUAGGUGUAAUUAUAACUGCAGUAUUUACAACUGCAUGUAUUUUCAACUACACUGUUUCUGCAACUACAUCUAACCAAACGGCCCCUUAGUGCAUCACCAAUAACUUCACUCUCUCAUUUUCUUAUACUCAUAUUAUUUGGUUUGUUGUCAUGUGCGAGUCCUAUACACCGUGACAAUUUGUAUAGGAUGUGUCAUUGUUAGGAUUACCAAACAGUACCACAUUAGAUUUUGCAGGAGAGUUUGUAGGGCUAUUUAUAUGAAUAGCACAUUACAACCGGUUACUUUUGCUUUAACAAUUUUGAAAUGUGGUCAUGGCCCAAAGGUUACUAAUACUAGCAGGUUCGUCUGGGAAAUUAAAUUUGAUAUUGAAGCCAUUCUCAGGGGUACUAGUAUGUGGGAUUCGGAGUAUAUAGGUGUGUACUUCCUCUUUUAAUUAAUGAUUUUAUAUGCCUGAUGUUGUGCAAAAAGUGAAGUUCUAAAUUUGCACUCUUGCAGUUGUGAUUGGCUGUGGAUUUGUCGUACAUUUGUUAUAGUUCAUUGUUUUUCAACUUGUUGCUUAUGAUUAAUAGUUUUUGCUUCUGAAAUCAUUCUUGAAGUGAUUUCUUGAAGUGAAGUAUGUGUAACAUCUCUAUGGCUUUUAGGUUUGUACUGCUUAUUGUUGAGUAAAUUAUUCCAUUAUCUGAUUUAUUUUUUGGAAUAUGAACAACAAAUUUUUAUAAUAUUAACAGGAAUAACCAAUCUGCAUUAGGGGUCUCCUAUUAUUACGUUAUUGUCUUGAAGGCACAAUCUUCAUCUAAUCAAAUUUACACCUAAUUUAGGGUUUUGUCAGAAAAUGACUUAUCCAAAAGAAGAUAUUUGAUAAAUUUAUAUGAUUUAAUAACUCGCCUAAAUUGGCUAACCCACACUAAUGGUAGCCAAUUCAAAGAUCAAAGUUAUAAACUAAGAUAAUGACUUUUGAUACAAUAAGAUAUCAAAAUCCUAACUAAACUCAUAUCGGACAUAACAUGACUUUUAUUGACUAAAUUUGAACCAAAUUAGGCCCAACUAAACAAAAUUUCAAAGAAUUCAUAAUGAGCCAUAACUCUACGUGAUUCCAUCUUCCACCCUCUAAAUUUGUUAUGCAAAUUAUUGUGGCUGGUUACUUAAUGCAAAAUGUUACUAAUUUCAAUUAUGAAUACAAUGAACCUUUUUUGUGAUGAUGCUUAUUAAGCAUUAAUAAUAUGUUUGUCUAUUACUAAAUAUGAAGGAUUAUGCUGCUGAGUCAACAAAUAGAAAAUCCACAUUGGUGCUUAAUGAACAUCGACAUCCUGCAGUUGUUCGAUUAAUCGAUGUAAUGUCUUUUUUUCAUAAUUUCCAUAUAGACUGGGAACAUGCCUAGUAAUUCUGGUUGCUGAGGUCUAAGAAUUAGAAUGCACCAUUGGAUUCUUUUGAUGAAGUAUGAACUUCAGAGUAAGAUGGUUGCUGCUUUUGUAUAAUAUUUUUCAUUUAUAGUUCCUUCUGCCUUCAUUGUGUUUACAUCAUGAUAUAUCUUCUCAUAUUAUUCUCUAUGGUUCAGGAUGAUUUUUCAGAUUUGGAGUACCAUGGAGCUAAACUUAUUGACGCAGAUCUUCAAAAGUUUAACUUGAGUAAACCUUUCGAAAAGCCAGGUAUCUGACAACCAUACGAGAAGUCUUACAAGGACAGUUAUUAUUAGCAUUCUUAGAUCAUACCUUCAAGGUAACAAAAUGCUUCUCCGAACAGGACGCGAAAAGAAGCAGUCAAAAACCGUUGAUUUGGACAGCAUAGAAAAGGUAUAUUACUAUAUAUGACUAAGGAGCUUCUGGAUUAUUUGCUGGUGAAGGAAUUAUAUAAAAUAUUCAUCUUUCUUUCUUAUUGCAGCUGAAGAAUGAAACCAAAGUUAGUUUUCAGAAGCUGCAAAAAGAACUAGAUUUUGAUGAGAAAUGGUUUCCACUUAUCGACUACUUGAGCACUUUUGGAUUGAAAGAAUCUCAUUUUGUUUCCAUCUACGAGAGACAUAUGCCUUGCCUUCAGAUAAACUUGGCUUCAGCGAAGGAGAGAUUGGGAUUCUUGUUAGCUAUUGGUGUCAAAAACAAAGAUAUGAAAAGGAUACUUACGAGGCAGCCGCAAAUCUUAGAGUAUACUGUUAACAAUUUGAAAUCCCAUGUUUCCUUCUUGGCGAGUAUAGGAAUUCCAAACUCUCGAAUGGGCCAGAUAAUUGCUGCCACUCCAUCCCUGUUCUCUUACAGUGUAGAACAUUCCCUGAAGCCAACAAUUAGAUAUUUGAUUGAAGAAGUGGGUGUGAAGGAAAGUGAUGUUAGCAAAAUUGUGCAGUUAAGCCCCCAGAUUUUGGUUCAAAGGAUCGACAACUCAUGGACCUCUAGAUUCUCUUUCUUGUCGAAGGAACUAGGAGCAUCCAAAGAUAGCAUGGUCAAAAUGGUCACCAAACACCCACAACUCCUUCAUUACAGCAUUGAGGAUGGGAUUUUGCCUAGAAUCAACUUUCUCAGGAGUAUCGGCAUGCGCAACUCUGAUAUUUUGAAAGUAUUAACAAGUCUUACUCAGGUUGUAUUUAAAACUCCCUUUUCACAUCUUUAUAUGCUUGUAGCUUCUGGUAGAUUUAAUUUCUUAAAUGUAUGGUACGAUCCACGUCACUGAUCCCAUUUAAGGAGUCUAAUGGUUAUAUGAAGAAGACAGAAAAACGAGCACUUAUAUGUGCGAGUUGAUUAAAAGCGCAGCCAACAAUUUGUUUGUAUAGCUUGCAAACUUUAGGCUCACGUGGUUUUAUUUUUUUCCUUCAUUUAACGAACUUGAUGACAUUUCCAUCACAUACACAAACAGUCUUUAUACCCUGGGGAUAAACAAUAGAGGUAAGGAUCAACUUAAGUUAUGGACUUCAGUGACUUACUUACCAAUUUAUGUAAAUUAGUGGAGCCAGCUGCAAUAAAGCAAUAGCUGAAGGACCAUCUCGGUAUUUCACCCGUGUCCUUCAUCUGUUCAUCUUUCUCUCAUCUUCCUUCUUAGGUAUUGUCAUUAUCAUUGGAGGGAAAUCUGAAGCCUAAGUAUCUAUAUUUGGUUAAUGAACUCCGCAAUGAGGUGCAGUCCCUGACGAAAUACCCCAUGUACUUGAGCCUAUCUCUGGAGCAGAGAAUCCGACCUCGCCAUAAAUUCCUGGUUUCACUAAAGAAAGUUCCGAAAGGUCCAUUUCCUUUGAGUUCAUUGGUUCCUACUGAUGUUCGCUUUUGUCAGCAGUGGGCUGGAACUACCUUAGAGAACUAUCUGGCUUUCAGGCAGAAUUUACUACUCACAGACUUUGCAAAGAAGUAUGAUAGGAAAACUUUGACAUCAACUUUUAAGUAAUACAAUGGUUUAUAUAUCAAGGUUUAACAAGUUAUGUGAGCACCUCAUUCGCUUUGUACACGUUAUGUCUCGUGAGGCUGUUGAAGUUGCUUCCUUCUGGCUCAGACACAAUAUAUGUACUGUAAGUUAAGAUGCUCAUUUUAGUUUAGUUUCUUUUUCCUGGCAAACUCUUAUAUUGAGGUGCUUGAAGUACUAACAAUUUUCAGGAAAGCUUGGUUGCUUAUAUUUUUACAUACAGAGCAAUGGGGAUGUAAUGAUGUAUUACCGGGUGCCAACCUUUUUGUAAGGAUAAAGAUGCAACUGAAGUUGCUACAGAAGUUGCUACAUCAGUCCUAUGCGAUGAGGUUCAUUAUCAUCUCAUUACUCAGAUUGGUAAGUCGGUUUGCCGAACUUUUCAUUAGCAGUUUAUUGAUGCUGUGAUUUGGAACUUCCAGGAUCAUCUGCCUAUAUGAGAUACUUGCUGCUACAAUACUCAGCUCUCUUGUUCUUAGAACAAACUUCCAUUCUGGCGUGGUGCUUCUGGAUUCAUGAAUUGUUUGUCAAACUGCUACUUGCAACCAUACAAACUGCCUUUGUGAUGCAACUGUCGAAUACUGACUUGUGCUACCUCAACAAUUUUGUGCCACAUUAAUGCAUCAAACUAUGUCUUUUCACUCUGUGAUUGCUUAUACUUUUGUAAUAUUUGUAUGAUCAUCAUUUUUAUAUUCUACAAUUUUUUUUUUUUGGAGAUUAUGCAUGCUCAUCUUUCUCUGAAAAGUCUUCUAUGCAUAGCAAUAGGCAUGCAGGGAGGAUGGAAACAACUAAAAUUAUCAUCACUUUAAUCAACAGUGUUAUUUUGCCAUCUUUUCCAUGUUAAAUUGUCGUCUGUAUAUAUCUAGUAGUGGUAGUAGUUUUACAUAGAAAACUGGGUUCAUUCUCCUACCUUAGUGCUUGAUAAGGAGGAUAAUAAGUUGUUAUGUUGUACCUUUCUGCGAAACAAGGCUAUUGUUCGAGCCAACACCUUGAGUUAUUCUAUUUCUCAAUAUAUUUCCAGUUAUCUUUUCUAAUUGCAGCUACCUAUCAACAUUACAUUUGUUUUAUGUUACUGUAGUACAGAGCAUGAAGUUUAUUUGGUACAGCAAUAAAAACUAAGAUGAUAUCUGGUGCUAGUGUUUAGAAGCAUUGGAAGGCGUGGCGGUCUUUUACCAGAACUUUUGGAUGAUUAAACCAAAGAUGGGAUCAGUGAACUCCAUAAGAUCCAAAACUCAAAUGUGAUCUGGAACCAAGGCUGUAAUCUACUGCACCUGAUCAUUCUGAGCUGUGGUCCACCCCUUAACAAACUGUUGUUCAUCACAACCUGAUCCACUUCAAGGCCAUAGGAAUUAGUCUAGGACCCAUGAAAUUCAAAAUAAUGGCUAUCUAAGAUUUCAUUUCGGAUUGAAUUAUCGUACAAUUCUUGGUCCCAUAGAUAGUGGCUAGAAUACCAACCAAGCUAUGAAAGAUCUAAAGUAUCUUGGAGAGCCAUUGUCAGCCACUUGCUGAAUAGAAAUGUGUGAAAGGGGGUAUGAACAUCCCUUGGCUAUUAUUGUGUGGGGGCCUCCAACACAAUGAGAAGAAGAUAAGGUUGGAUCAGGUGAGUCCCAUGACCGUUGCGUAAAGUUGCGGCUCUUUUAGGGUAUUUUGGAUUGACGUGAUUGGAAUUCCAUUUUAAAUUAAAUUUAGUAAGAGUACAAACAUUAGUACUCUAGUUGACCACAAGAAGAAUUAUCACCUAGUUCAAUCUCUUGAAAAUUAUCUUUCGCUGAAAGGCCAAAAGUUGUUCAUCGUGGAAAGAUCCAAAUUGUGGCAUAGAGUUUGAUAGCAGGUUUUUACUGAACUUGAUUUAUACCCGAAGUGCAAUUACGGCAAUCCAAAUGCCCCGAGGGCAAAUAAUAUCGUUAUUCGGGAGAGGGGGCAUUAAUGGCAUUGACUUUGAAAUCAAAUCCCGCUAUAUGUAAAAAAGGAUGUGCGUAUGUAAUUUACAGACAUUUAUUAAGAGACGAAAAAAAGAAAAGAAAGACAUGAGGGGCUUAACAUUUUUUUCCGCAUGGCUAUUAAGCAUUGGCUAUCAAUAGAAAUCAGAUAUUCAUAGUUUUUACCCUGAAAUACUAUUUGAAUCGAAUUGUUAGAAGAUGCAUAUAAUAGCUUUUUCUUAAAGACGGCUCUACGGUUUUUCGAUGCAUGCAACUUCAAGUUCGAGUUUCUGCUUCUGAAUCUAAAAAAAACUUAUUUUAGGGUCAUACCAAUGUGAAACUCUUACCUUGUUUGUUAGCUAAACACUUGACUAGGAGAGAGUAGGAGUACUUGAAGGAUUAAACUGUUGAUGGAUAGUCUAUGAAACUAAAACCAACUAGAUAUUUGCACAUUUCAGGUUUCCACAACACUACAUUGCAAGUACUCUUUCAGAAAAUAAGAUGAUGUUCACAUGGAGGCUAGGCCUGCCUUGCUAAUAGUAAUAGCUUGGCUUGACACCCAUUCAUAUUUUCAGUCAAUAUAGGACUAAUAAUUCUUGUUGGAUUCAAAUAAAUAUUAUAAGAACACUCUGCUCUAUUUUACACCACCAUAAGGCUCCAUAAGAAGGCCUAUAUGGUCAAUAUAACGAUUGAAUCUAAAUCACCGGUCCAAAAUAUUUAAGUCGAUAGUAAUAGAGCUCUUAGUCCCUAUAUAUAAAACCCAUCUAUCUGAUGUUUGGGAUGUCGCAUUUGAAAAUGUCAUUUGAAAGUUGAUUGGCAUUAAUCCAUCCUAAUAUCUAGGUAAUUAUAAACGUUAUGAACAAGCAGUCAGAUAGAACGGUCGUAUUCAUAUUUAAAAUGGUAUCUGCAGAAUUUUUAAAAUUUUGCAAAACACAUAUGAAAGUGACUAAAAAGGACAACACCAAUUAUUAUGCAAAAGUUAUCUACUAACAGACACAAACCCCCCAAAACUGCACUGUAACUCCUACAAGACCACUUGUUUUGUAGAGAAAAAUAGAUUGGACAGAUCAGAUGCAGAUAAUUGCUUAGUUUAAGAUAAGUGAAAGGGACUGAAUCAAAGCUUAACAACACAUAAAAAAACAAUGCUAGCUCCAAUUCUUUAUCAUUUGCAUCGGACGGCAGUCGCGGCUGAUCUGGUUAAACUCGAUCGACGAAAGAUUGCGAUCGGCCGCGCCUAUCGUUACGCGUCAUUGCGGGCCAGGUGACGGUGAUUCGGGGCGCCCUUUCGCGUUUACUAAGAGCCACCACUAAAACAAAGGAGAUGUAAACAAUGGGCCUAAAGAACAUGCAGGUAGGAUCGCAAAUCCCCACCGCCCGGUGCGGAUUGUGCGGGAUCAUGACCGUUCGAUCGCGAUCAGCUCAAGCCCACUUGCAUUGUGAAAGAGAGGACCACAAUGCAGGUUGAUUCUUGUUGUCCCCCACCCCCCCUCUCAAAGUAUUUUGAAAGGGAGAAAGAAGCUGAGGUAUUUGAGAACUCAAAACUUAGGGAGAGGUGAAUCUUAUGACCAUGAGAGAGAGAGAGAGAGAUAUUAUUGUAUGACAAGUUGAUGUGGUCCUUGUAUAUGAUCCUUUACAGGCAACUUCUUAUCAUCCACUUACCUAAUGUAAUAAAUGAGACAGCUCACUUUAAAAAGCCCUUUUUUUUUGGAAGGUGGAAGUGCUUUACUUUACAGGGAAUUCUUUUGCCUUUUCUUUCACCUGGAGGAUAAUUUUGCCAAAAAAGAAAAGAAAAAGCUAGUGGGUCUCAGAAUCUGCUCAUAUUUAUUUCAUUAUUUAUAUCCACAUCCACAAAUACUGGUAUUAUAUGAAAAAGACCUAAAUUGCUCAAUUAAGAGGUGGUUAUCAUCUAAUGCAUGAUUACUUUGUGGCCAUUCUUUGACCAGUAUUAAUUUCCAAUUUGGUAGACUCUGCAUUAUGAAAAAAAAAAAAAAAAAACCACACUAAAUAAUGCAGAUGCAUAUAAGAAAGAAAAAAAUAACUUUGUAAUAAAUGAUUAGCACAACAAAAGGGGUAGCACUUCCCUCCAUAAAUUAACAACAUUUUGGGAUUCUAAUGUCCAAACAACUCAGACAAGCAUUUCUAGCAAUUCUAAAUUGCUGGUAUCAAACUUCAGUCCAACAAAUACAUUGAACAACCCAAUCACACAACAAGAAAGCCAUUAAAAAAAAAAAGAAGAAAUUGUACUCCAAUGACAGAGGUCUAAUAUGGAAAAAGAUUAGGUGUAGAUACAAAUGAGCUGUGGUAACCAUAAACUGAAACACAAUCAGAUAUAUGAUGGCCCACAGAUGACAACAUUAGCACUUACAUAAUUCACUAUUAUCCGAAUCGAAACAAUCUCACCAACCAUUUCGGUAUAAUGAGCGUAAAGUUAUUUGUAAAAUAUGUACAGGUAAUGUUUCAGGGAAUUAAAAACUAAGAGGAGAAAAGGAAACGGACUAAUGACUUUCGUUUAACACCUAAUCUAAACGAAGUUCGGGUUAUUUUAAUUCUUCGAAUAGAGUUACCACUGUACUUGUAUUUAUCUCUUUGUACCCACAAGAAAAGUUUGUCUCUGUGAUUCAAAGUAGUGAAACCUACCGCUAUGUUUUGUGUAGUUUGUUCGUCGUUUUCGCGACCUUUACAAUGUCUAAAAGGGAAGGUGAUCCCACCUGUACUUGAGGUCGUAUAAAUAAAAGCUUGUAAAGAAAAUUACCAGUUGCCGAAGUAGAACGAAACUUUUCCGCACCGAUAUCUCUAGUCGCUUACUAUUAAUAUACCUCUAUAUGUACUUCUUGUGAUGUUUAACUUGCUCUUUUCCUCCACUUCCUAAAGAGGCGACGCAAACGGAGACUCUGGAAGAUCGAUUUCAGCACUGCGAAAAGAAUAAAGUGAAAUUGAUCAGGAAAGAGCAUUCUGGGACGUUGCAGUGUUUGAUACAUACAAUGACAUAUGCACACAUUAGUCGUGAUUAUAUGUUUUUCAUAUAUUUCAUUGCCAAAAAUGUAAAGUAAUAAGCAGCAGAAACCAAACAAGGAUUCGAUUUGAGAGCAAAAUCUUCUAAAUUAAAUCUGACUUACCUAUUUUUAUCGCUGCGGUUGUUGCUCAUCUGCCUUGUAGUGUCAUCAUUUUUGCCGCCACCGUCCGGAUUCUUUGGAACAAUCGAGAGAUUGCUGAAACGAUCUGCCAGUAAACAUUAACGCACAGAAUAAUAUAUCCGUAUUAAGAUAAGCUUUACAGUGUUAAAACAACGAAAAGAAUAAAAUAGCGCAUUGGGAUCGGUUAUCACCUUCAAUGUAAUUCAGAUCGUCCAUUCCACCGCCAAAGAAGAGUUCUUGUGUCGGUUUGUUCGGAGUCAGUUGCAGAUCAAAAGGGUGUUUCGAUUCAAUUUCAUACUCACGCUCUUCUAUCGACUGCUUUUUGAAAAUCUCAGAAUAGUGACACAGCCUUGAUGCUGAGAAGGGGAGAAAAUUAGAGGAAAUCUUAUUAGGUUACAUAUAAAAGGUCCAACCAGCAAACGUAACAAGAAGUAAAGAACAAUUGAAACUAGAUGUCCGACUCACUCGUAUUCGGGUUCUGAUCCAUUUCGUAGAAUCUGGAAAGGCUGUUGCUUGAAAACAUGGUCUUUUCGGCAUUCUUCCUGCAUUGUGCAUCAGGCAUUAGUAGGGAUACGAAAAGAGUACAGGGCCAAAAUCAAAAUAAAAUAGGAUACACUCCGAUGCAGUGACUUUCUUAGCUUCUACCUCACAAAACAGACUUAUAUCCAACUGAAUAAGAUUUAUACAUGCACCAAUUAAAAAAAAAAAACCGAAUUCAUCAUCUGCCCUAGUGUAAAAAACAUUUAUGUCCUUAGUAAUUUAAAUUAACCAGUAGCGCAAACAUAAUAUUUUUAAUUUCAACAACCAUAUACAAGGUGUUACACAUUACGGAAAACAUAGAGCUGAAGAGGACGACAACUUGCCACCUUAUAAAAACAUAGAAUCUAGUUUUAACUCACAUACACAGCUUGAGUGCCGUCAUGCAAGGCGGUAAAGCAACUGUAUCCGCAUUCCAUUGCAGUGCCAGAAUGAGUUGAAAGAGAUUGAAUUGUUGCAAGUGGAGUUGAUACUGGUUCGGCUACGGUGCAGGAACAACUCUCUACAAGACUCAUAUUUAUUACGAGGCUUCAUUUGGCAUUGCGGGAAAGAGUGCAUUACUUACAAUGAGAAAGCACAAUGGUAAAAUAUUCUAUUUUUCUGUAAAAAAAAAAAAAAAAAACACGCUGUAUAGAUCGUAACAAUUUGGUUACGAUAUAAUCUCUACAGCCCAAGUGGAAAAUGCAAAAGCGUAUCUCUACACGCUUUUUUUCCCAACUCCUCAAGUGAUACUAUUAGAAGUCAAACUAUCCGAGCGUUCCCAAAUUGUUCACACAAAAGCCUAAACUUUUAGUAUCAUGGGUCAACAUAACUCAUUCUUCUCUAGGUAGCGCGCCAAUGCCAUGCUGAAGUAUGACAUAAAAAAGUAUGAGCAACAACAAACCGGCAAAAAUAAAGUAUCCGACGACAAAGUAACAAAUAAGAGUAAUGACAUAAUGAUAAAUUUUUGUCGGAGCAAUUGUCUGUACCGAAUGCGACAACAAGGAAAAAAGCGAAAGAAUUAAUUCAAUGAAAAAGGAGACUAAUCCUAAUCCAAAUCCAAUCACCCACUAACUCUUUAUGGCACAAAGACGACGAGUCGAAAAACGACCCAUAAAGCGAUUGUCUUUACAAUUCUGACCUGUCGAUCAGCUUCGACUUUUCCUUGUAGGGCUUGACCAAUACUCGCGAGCCACAUAUGUAGUGAGGAUUCCCUUUUGCUAAGAUGCAUCUGACCGUCUCGGGGUACACGAAACUCACAAAACCGAACAUGCGCUUCUCCUGAUGAGGAAUUCUAACGUCAUGAACCAGUCCGUACUGCCUAAUACGAACAAAAAAAAUAUUGCAGUUAUAUCUUGAGAACGCCUUUGCUUUGCUUGGAAACUAAUCGACAAAAAUAAAAAAUUACUUGAAGUAGUUUUCGACAUCGUCGUCGGUGAAUGUGCUCUCGGCAGGGAAUGUGAGAUAAAUUUGAUUAGAGCUGGCAUUUACUCCGCCCUGGUGAUAUCUGUCGCUCUUAUUCUCGAUGUAUUUGUGCGCAUCUUCUGCGAGGAUUACCAAAUGCUGCCCAUUUUGACUGCAGCAGAGACAAACACAUACGUCCCAAUUUAAGGGUGAUAAUAAUGCAAAGAAAUUACGAAAAGUUAUCACCCAACUAAGGGGGCAUUUGGUUUUGGAUCGAUGUAAAACGAAUCGAAAAAUUAUUUUCGGUAUGAAAAAUGCUUUUUCCUCUUCGUUUGGUUCGACGUAAAAGAUUUUUGGGGAAAAGUUAACUCAUUUUUCAUUGUUUUUCAGCGGAAAACAAAAACUCAAGCUGAGUAAACCUUUUUUGAUUCAUUUUUUUUUUCCACCGAACCAAACAAAUAUAGAAGAAGAUUUUUUUCCCGAUGGAAAAACUCGCCUACAAACCAGAUUUUACAAAAAGUUGAAUUUUUUUUCCACCAAAAAUUACUAUUAACGGUUCUACGUUGAACCAAACAGACCCUAAACUUUCAUUACUUUGAUUUAAGAGAAUUUCCUCAAAAGUUCCAUUAUUAGAAUUUAACACUACACUUAGAUGAUGUUGUUGUUGUUGUAGUAACAUAAUAAUAAUCUACAAGAAACAAUGAACAGAGAGAGAAAGAGGGGGGGAUUCACCCAUGAAUGAGCCGAAUGCCGUUGUUCAGGCGGGCGAGCAACUUGGUCAGGCUAAAGCCGGACUUCCCGUGCCGCUGGCUCUCGGUAAGGUAUCCCUCGGCCUGCAGCACCUUCCCGUACCUCGCGAGGUACAGCGUCGGCAACGAGGCAAUCGAGAGCGGCUGUCCGACCCUCUCCUUGAGCAGCUCCCGAAUCUCCGCCUCCAGCCUAUCAAACACUUCCUCGUUGCCGCCGCCGCCGCCGCCGAACUCGUUCGAGCUCGGAUGACCGCCGUGCAAGUACCAGCACUUGUCGCCGUGCUUGCAGAACCCCUUGUGGUAGUACUGGCAGGCUUUGGCAGCCUGCAAUUCAGCCCGGAAUUCAGGACAGACGGAGGAAGGGUAGAAAGAAUUCAGCGAUGAUUCGUGCUGGUCCUGAAAGGCAGGAGGAGGAGGAGGACUGUGAUCCCAGUAACGGAAGGUCGACGACGGCGAAGAGAAGCUCCGGGAGAGAGCUGCUGCAGGGGGGAGCGUGAAAUCGGGAGCGGGCUGCUGCUGCAGCUGCUGAAGAAUCGGGAAAGCGAUGGUCGGGAGGAAAGAUUUGGCUUCGUUGAUCAGGGAGAGGAUGUGGGCGUCGGUCCCGAACGCAUAGUCCACGAGUUCUUGAGUGGUGGUGCAGCGCAGGUAGAGGUAGCCGAUGACCUUGAACGCAUUUUCUGGGUCGUAUUUCCGAAUCUUGUUAAAAACAAUGCUAGUAAAAUCGCUCACUUCCAUUUCUGGUUCCUGCCACCACCACAAAACAAAACAAAGAUUGAGAAAAAAAUAAAAUAAAAAUUACAUAAGAUUUUGAAAGAUCACACUAUAUGUAAAAGAUAAAGAUAAAGAAACUGCUUUUCUCAAAAACCAGAAAUUAAAGAAACUAAAGGAAAAAAAAAAAAAAAAAGGUUUUUUUACACACUAAAAGAUAUAGUUUUACCACUACAUGAACAGACUUGUAGCAGAUAAACAGGCACCAAGAAAGAGAGUGGGAGCCAUUCUUUUUCUUAAGAAAAGGGUUUUUUUACACACAAAAAAGAGAGAGAGAGAGAGAGAGAGAGAAAUAGGGAACAAAUUUUACAACUAAAUCAACAUACUCUUCUUCUUCUUCUUCUCCUUCUCCUUCUCCUGUAGAGUGUUUAGGGAGUCUUUUAUUAGUCUCUCAUCAUCAUCCUUCCAAAGCAGAAGAAGAGGAGAUAACACACACCAAGAAGAGAGAGCAAAAAACUGUGUUCAAAUCGAGGCCACUAUUAUAUAUAUAUAUAAAUGUAAAGUCACUGCAUAUUUAUUUUGGAAUGUUCAAAAAAAAUUAAUGAUCAUUUUUUUACUUUAAUUUUAUAACACAAAUGGAAAGAUGAGAAAUGAAUGAUAUUAUUAUUAUUUAUUAUUAUUAUUAUGUUACAGGCUGUAUUGCUAUUUUCCAGCAUUGGUUUAAUUCGAGCGAAAUGACGAAUUUGCCCCUGAACUUAUCCCUUCUAUAGGUGACUUAGAAAUGGACCAAUUUGUCAUUUUGGCACUCUUAAUGGGUGAUUAGUGUGAUAAUUAUUUUUGGAAGCAUUAUAAUAAAGCUCUUUUUUAGUAGUAAAAUGCUCAACAGAAGGGCUAAUGUGGCAUAGUGCAUGUUGCCCACCUGUCAUUUAAAUGUAAACCGUUUCUUUGAGAGGGGAUUAUGGGAUUUUUAUUUUUAUUUUUAUUUUUUUAUUUAUUUAUUCAUUUUUUUUAGAGAAUUAUAAAUAUUAUAAAUUAUAAAUAUAAAUUACUAUUAUAAGUAGGCAAAACGGCUCGCGGUAAAAGCGCAUUUUUAGUUUUUAUCUCCGGGUAGUUUGGAGCCUCACGGUUCGGAUUCUUAGACCCAAAAAAAAGGGUUUUUUUAGAUGAGAAAAAAAAAAGAAGCUGUAAUUUGAAUUGGUGUGUGGAUAGAUUUGAUGUUUGAAAAUUGAAUUCAAAAUUGCUAAUAAGUUCAUAAAUUUAAAUAUAAAUUUAUUAAUUUCAAAUUUUAAAUUAACUUAACGGUUGAAAAUAAAAAUAUUUGUUUUUUUUUUAAAAACAAUAUUCUCGCACACGUAAUAUCUGCUAUCUCUUAUCUACACAUUUUUUCAAAUAUCAUUAAUAUCUCUCGCACUAUCAUACGCGAAAUAUCCAUCACUACAUAAUAUUCAAUCAAAAGUAAUAUCUGUCUUAAUUCAAUUUUAUUUACUAAUAUUUAAUUCAUUUAUUAACCUUUUAUUGAUGGUAACCAAUAAUCAAAUUUAAAUUUAAUUUAAAUAUCUAUUUAAAUUUUAAUUUUAUUUGAAUUAAAAUAUUAAUUAAAAUUUUGAUACUUUUAGUUUAAAAUAUAUAUUUAAAAUUUGAAUUCGUUAGAAACCGAAAAAUAUAGUAUAAUAUUCAAUUUAUAUAAAAAAAAAAACUAUAUAAUUUAUGUCGGCAACAAUUAUUUGAAUUUGAAUUAGAAUUAGAAUAUGACAAAUAAUUUUGAAUAAAAUAUAACAGAUGAAUUUACUUUUUCAAAAAUUAAAUUUUAUUAUAAGUUUUUUGAUGAAUAUGAUGAAUAAAUUUCUGUUGAUUUGAAAUAAGUACUAAAAUAUUAUUAGGAGACCUAUUUUUAUAUUGCAUUUAAUUGAUGAAAACUGAAAAAAAAAUUUAUAUUUAUCUAAAUUUUUUCUGCAGAAUAUACUUCACAUACACAAACACAGAAAAUAUUCGAAUAUCCAAUAAUUUUGAAUUAAGCAACUAAAAAUAAAUUAGAUUCAAAAAAUAGAAUGAUUUAAAUAAAGUAUAUUAACUUGACUUUAAAUUUUAAAUUUGUUUCAUAAUAUCAAGUGUGAAUAUAUAUUUUAAUUCAAAAUUUAAAAUUAAUUAAAAAUUUUAAAUAUUGGGUCUAUCAGCAGAUUGCUUCAAACCGAAAUAAAGUAACUACUUAUUUUCAAAUUGCAUAUUCACAAUAAAUUUCAAAUUUUGAGUUUUUGUUCAUAAAUUGAAAUCCGACUUUAUUAAUUCAAAAUUUGAAUUAAUUCAACAGUUGAAAAUAAAAAUAUCUGUCACUUUCUAUGACAAUUUUAAAUAGUCGAAAGAUUAAUUUGUCUGUAAUUAAUCUUAUCAUGAUGUGUAAUUAUGACUUAGACAUGUCCGAUUUGUGUUGAUUUUAAAUUUUAUUUUCAAAAUUUUGAAUUAGUGAUUAAAGUCUAUAUGAUUUGACUCACUUGCUCUUUACAAUUUUAUGAUUUAAUUACUAAGAUGACCUGCAUCGGAUGGGUGGAACCAAGUCGGAUUCUAAUUAGGCUAAGCCCAAGCCCGGCCCAAACCAAGUUUUUGGGCUUUAGACCAAAAAAUAUUUGAAAAAGAUAAAGCAUGGGCCGGACCCAUAGCCCGCUAACCAUCGAGCCUUGUUUAGGCCCAUUUUUAAAAUAAUUUAUAAAUAUAUAUAUAAUUAGGAAAGUCCAUUUGGACUCUAUUUUUUGGUCACAUGUAUGUACUCGUUUAUGUGUUAUAGACUUUAGGUAUCGUUUGGUUCGGGGAUAAGCAAAAAGUAACUAUUUUAGGAAAAGAUAUAAAUUGAGUUAUAAGUGGGGAUUAGAUCAAUUUUACGUUUGGAUGAAAAUUAGGUUAUUUCUAAGAAUAAAAAAAAUAGUGUUUGAUUAGAUAAGAUGGAAUAAGAAAUAUAAUAGGUUUUAUAAAUAAAAAAUAAUGAUAUUACUCUCUUAUUAUAUUUGAAUUUAAAAUUUAAAAUUUUAAAAUUUUAUUUUUAAAUUUAAAAUUUUAACUUUGAAAUUUCAAAAUUUGAAAUNUUUUUUUAGUUAAUAUAUUAAUUAUAUAAAUUAAAAUACUAAUUAUUUAAAUAAUAUAAAUAUUAGUAAAUAAUUGAAUAUAUGGCUAACUAUUUAAUUAGAUAAAUAAUAAUAAAAUGUAAAUAAAUUAUUAUUUAAAUAUUUAUUAAUUUAAUAACUUAAUUAAUUAAUUAGUCAAUUAUUUAAAAUUUUAAUUGUAAUAAUUAAUUAUAAUUUAUAAUUAUUUUUAACUUAAUUAGUAGAGGAAUAAAUUAGAGAAUAGCUUGUUCCACCCAAUAGAUGGAACUACUAUUCUUCCCUCUUAACGGGUUAUUCCAGAAUAACCUGUUAACGUGGGGAUAAAUUAACAUGCCAAUUUUGCUUGGUGUUUGGCAAGAAUAGUGAGAUAAAAAGAGAUAUU